rnacentral:rRNA from 1 species
AGUGAACGCUGGCGGUAGGCCUAACACAUGCAAGUCGAACGGCAGCACAGUAAGAGCUUGCUCUUACGGGUGGCGAGUGGCGGACGGGUGAGGAAUACAUCGGAAUCUACUUUUUCGUGGGGGAUAACGUAGGGAAACUUACGCUAAUACCACAUACGACCUACGGGUGAAAGCCGGGGAUCUUCGGACCUUGCGCGAUUGAAUGAGCCGAUGUCGGAUUAGCUAGUUGGCGGGGUAAAGGCCCACCAAGGCGACGAUCCGUAGCUGGUCUGAGAGGAUGAUCAGCCACACUGUAACUGAGACACGGUCCAGACUCCUACGGGAGGCAGCAGUGGGGAAUAUUGGACGAUGGGCGCGAGCCUGAUCCAGCCAUACCGCGUGGGUGAAGAAGGCCUUCGGGUUGUAAAGCCAUUUUGUUGGGAAAGAAAAGCAGCAGGUUAAUACCCCGCUGUUCUGACGGUACCCAAAGAAUAAGCACCGGCUAACUUCGUG